rnacentral:rRNA from 1 species
CCUACGGGAGGCAGCAGUAGGGAAUCUUGCGCAAUGGGCGAAAGCCUGACGCAGCCAUGCCGCGUGAAUGAUGAAGGUCUUAGGAUUGUAAAAUUCUUUCACCGGGGACGAUAAUGACGGUACCCGGAGAAGAAGCCCCGGCUAACUUCGUGCCAGCAGCCGCGGUAAUACGAAGGGGGCUAGCGUUGCUCGGAAUUACUGGGCGUAAAGGGAGCGUAGGCGGAUAGUUUAGUCAGAGGUGAAAGCCCAGGGCUCAACCUUGGAAUUGCCUUUGAUACUGGCUAUCUUGAGUAUGGGAGAGGUGAGUGGAACUCCGAGUGUAGAGGUGAAAUUCGUAGAUAUUCGGAAGAACACCAGUGGCGAAGGCGACUCACUGGCCCAUUACUGACGCUGAGGCUCGAAAGCGUGGGGAGCAAACAGGAUUAGAUACCCUGGUAGUCCACGCCGUAAACGAUGAGUGCUAGUUGUCGGCAUGCAUGCAUGUCGGUGACGCAGACUACGACAUUAAGUACACUCCGCCGUCGGGGAGGUACGGUCGCGAAGAAUUAAACUAACAAUAGUAAGUUAGACGGCGUGAGACGUAGACCGAACGGACGACGACGAGGGAGGAGG